AGCUGCUUGGUGAGCACAACAGAACUAUUCUUUUGCCUUUUACUAAAGAAUAACGUGUGCACACCACACUAAGCAGCAUACAUUUAUUUUUUUAAAGGUUUCUUCUCUAGAGGAGAG